AAGUGGUUAUAUUAACCCGACAGUUUAAAUAAGUGUUAAAUGCUACCAUUAAACUUAUCAUAUAUCACGCAUAGACCGAUUUUGUUUACCGUAGUAACAAUUUCAGCGUGAAUCACCCAUCACACAGUGAAUCACUGAAAUUUACCCAAUAUCAGUAUCACUUACGCAACUGCAGACAGCUGCUUAAUACAGUCACACUUGUCUUGACUUGGCGCAAUAAAAAUCUUCAUUGAGACACCCGUUCACGCGGGCAGAUCGGUGAUCAUUUUUGUUUUGUUGCAUUCACGCAUACAAAAUUUUUUGAUUUCUCUGUAUCGCUUAUUCUUAAGGACAACGCGUUACACCGUGACAAAUUUCUUUAUGGAUAACUCAGGGAAAGUUUGGCUAAUACGUACGAGUACAUUUUUUCUACACACACACACACACACACUCAAAUUAUUUUUGUAUCGCUGUGUAUCAACUACUACUCAGCACUCAAUGGUAAACUUUGGCUGCGCUUGCGCGGUCAGUUUAAAGUUUAACUGCAACAUGAGAGACAUUGAGCACGCACGUGUUGUGUCUUCGGACGCUUCACAUCACGCUGAGCAGACUUUGCGAAGUUUACUUUGCGAAGCAUGUCAUACAAGCAUCUACAGCAUCAAGUCACAGGGUUGGCAAGUGUAUUUUUGAACCUUCAAAGCAGUCACGCAUACGGAAGAGUAGUUUCUGAUCCCAUAGAAGGAGCACCGUACAAUGAGAGACCGCUCUUAGUUCUAAGGAACGCAGCAGGCGCGUAAAUUGCCCAAUGCUAGUACCCUACAAUCAAAUUGUAUUUACAUGCGUUAACAAUUUACAACAUUACAAGUUUUAAUGACAGACAUUAUCAACACUUUCAUUUUUUCUGUUAUAUCAUACACAUAUUAUCCUUGUUCGUUGUACAUCAGCAUAUAUAGUAUUAAUUUAUUAUUUUACUGAGGCAGUGACAAGCUGUAACGGUUGAGUAUAAAAAUGACGAGUGUCUGGCAUUGCCGCUCUUUCGGGAGCUUGGCAAGUUGCCGACGCUUUGUGUGCUCAAUUGGAAUGCGGUGAGUUUAAGCAACUCAGAACCUUUGGACGGUGUUAGUAAAAUUUCACUGUUUAUGUAUC
rnacentral:rRNA from 1 species